AAACAAGGAGAUCUUUUCGGUCAGAGUUUGAAUCUGAUAAGUAAAGAAAAAUUACCAGAAGAAGAUGUACAAUGUUAUAAGUCAUGGUUGAUAGAGCACUCGAAAGAGGAUACUUUUGAGACACUUGUUGAGUGGGUAGAGCUAAGAGUACAGAUAAUGGAAGAAGCUAAAGAAGAAACAAAAGGCCUGGGAACUAGUAAAGAGAGAAAUGGUGACAAAAGGAUAAACCGCGUAAGAAGAGAAAGAGGUUUCAACACAAUGUCUAAAGGCAAUCUCAAGUGUGUUGUGCAUACAUGCAAGAACAACCAUCCUCCCUGGACCUGUGAUGCCUUUAAAGCAUUAUCAGUAUCAAAUCGAAAAGCAUUGAUAGAGAAAUCGAGACGAUGUUACCGAUGCCUGGGUGUUGGACACAAAGCAAUUGAAUGUACUCGAGCAAGACGGUGUGGCGUCGAUGACUGUGAUAGUACCCAGCACAAUAGAUUACUUCAUACCCCACGUAGACUAGACCAGAACUGUCAAACUGGUUCUCAUUCGGUUACCCCACAACAGGCGAUGAAAGACUCCAGCCAGCAAACCAGGAGCAGAUUAUCAGAUGAUAAGGACAGUGCACAACAAUCCGGAGCAGGUGAAAAUACGGCUGAUACUAGAUCUUAUGUCACUCAACGCACUGACCACAUAUCGCUAAUGGUGUUACCAGCUGUUAUCAAGAAUGAUAAGAAAGAACUGAAGGUUAACGUUAUGUUAGACCCUUGUUCCACCGGUUCAUAUGUGACUGAAGCUGCUGCUGAAGAAUUACAAUUGAACGGAGAAACGCAUGAACUGACAAUCUCGGGUACUGGUGGAUCCCAAGUUAAAAAACAGUCUAAACAAGUAAACUUGGUUGUCACAAGCUUAAACAGAAACUUUUCAGAGAAUUUAUCUGCUAAUGUCCUGGACAAUAUAACUGGAGACACACCCGCCUUUAACUGGGCAGACUUGAAAGCAAAGUGGCCCCAUUUGGCUUCCAUUUCCUUUGAGCAGACUUCAAGACGAAAGCAGAUAGAUGUGUUGAUAGGCAGCGAUCACCCAUUAUUUCACCAUGUUCUGAAGGAAGUGCACGGUAGUAAAACUACAGACCCAAUAGCAAG